UGGGGAAUAUUGCACAAUGGGCGCAAGCCUGAUGCAGCCAUGCCGCGUGUAUGAAGAAGGCCUUCGGGUUGUAAAGUACUUUCAGCGGGGAGGAAGGUGUUGUGGUUAAUAACCUCAGCAAUUGACGUUACCCGCAGAAGAAGCACCGGCUAACUCCGUGCCAGCAGCCGCGGUAAUACGGAGGGUGCAAGCGUUAAUCGGCAUUACUGGGCGUAAAGCGCACGCAGGCGGUCUGUCAAGUCGGAUGUGAAAUCCCCGGGCUCAACCUGGGAACUGCAUCCGAAACUGGCAGGCUUGAGUCUUGUAGAGGGGGGUAGAAUUCCAGGUGUAGCGGUGAAAUGCGUAGAGAUCUGGAGGAAUACCGGUGGCGAAGGCGGCCCCCUGGACAAAGACUGACGCUCAGGUGCGAAAGCGUGGGGAGCAAACA
rnacentral:rRNA from 1 species